UGGGGAAUAUUGCACAAUGGGCGCAAGCCUGAUGCAGCGACGCCGCGUGAGGGAUGACGGCCUUCGGGUUGUAAACCUCUUUCAAUAGGGACGAAGCGCAAGUGACGGUACCUAUAGAAGAAGGACCGGCCAACUACGUGCCAGCAGCCGCGGUAAUACGUAGGGUCCGAGCGUUGUCCGGAAUUACUGGGCGUAAAGAGCUCGUAGGUGGUUUGUCGCGUUGUUCGUGAAAACUCACAGCUUAACUGUGGGCGUGCGGGCGAUACGGGCAGACUAGAGUACUGCAGGGGAGACUGGAAUUCCUGGUGUAGCGGUGGAAUGCGCAGAUAUCAGGAGGAACACCGGUGGCGAAGGCGGGUCUCUGGGCAGUAACUGACGCUGAGGAGCGAAAGCGUGGGGAGCGAACA
rnacentral:rRNA from 1 species